UCCGGAAUGUCUCCGCAGAGGGAGACUCCGCCACCGCCCUGGGCAGCCUGUUCCAGUGCUCUGCCGAGGUGGAACUUCUUGUGUUUCAUUUAUGGCCAAUGCUACCCGUCCUUUCGCUGGCACCACUGAAAAGAGUCUGACACAUCUUCUUGGCACGGCCCUUUGAGACAUUUACAUGCAUUGAGGGGGAUACCAUGAGUCUCCUCCGGACUAACAGGCCCUCAGCACCCGCACAGGCGUUACCAAGGACCGACCGUGAGUGAUUCGCUUUCCCCACGAGCCAAGGCAGAGCCGGGACCCAGCGGGGAGCGAGGCGUGGCUGUUCCGGUGCUACCGUGACGACUUCCAGGAAAAGCGGCCACGAGAGUUCCUGAUCCAGGUGCUGGAGCGGGUGAAGGCUGGCAGGCGAGCCGAGGGCGAGUACCCGUUCCUCAUGGACGAGGCCAAUGUAGAGGCCAUGUUCGGCCUGCUGGAUGUCCUGGGCCAGGGCUCCAUCCGGCCCGCGCAGUACAGGGAAGCCCUUAAAACUUUGGGACUGAGCACUGAGGAUUUGGAGCUAGAAGACGAUGUGGAGAUCACACUGGAUGAAUUCAAGGAAGGAAUGAAGAAAAAGAUGCUGGAGAGCUGGUCUGUGUAUUAGUUUCAGCAGUGGUCUGCUAUAUAUAUUAAAAACAGGCAUCUUCCCCAGUUUUUCUUCUGGUUUGUCAGCUGUGAAGGGUUGAUUUUAAGCAAUAUUCUCUUUUCUCUUUUUCUCAUCUUCCCUGCCCUUCAGUGGAGCAAUCAGCUGAAGAGGACAAGUGACAAGAACAUGUGCAUGUCCAGCAGGCACUGGAGGGAGUAUAGUUAAGAAUUGCUGUUCUUAAUAUAAUUAAAUAGUUAAAAAAAAAAAAAAGUAGAGAUCUCUUUUGCAACUGAAAUAGUAUUUUGGAGUUUCCUCCUUCAGGUCAUAGUUUACAGUAAAGGAUUGUUACCUGUUGGCUCAUUAGCACUCAAUAAAAUAAAGUUGGUUUUUGGGCUUGUGCUG